rnacentral:rRNA from 1 species
CCUACGGGAGGCAGCAGUGAGGAAUAUUGGUCAAUGGCCGGAAGGCUGAACCAGCCAAGCCGCGUGAAGGACGAAGGUGCCAAGCAUUGUAAACUUCUUUUGUCAAGGGACAAAAUCAGGCUCGAGAGCCUGACCGAGGGUACUUGAAGAAAAAGCAUCGGCUAACUCCGUGCCAGCAGCCGCGGUAAUACGGAGGAUGCGGGUGUUAUCGGGAUUUAUUGGGUUAAAGGGGGGCGUGGGCGGGCUGUUAAGUCAGCGGGAAAAGCCCGGGGCUCAACCCCGGCGAGCCGUUGAAACUGGCUGUCUUGAGAUGUGGAGAGGUAGGCGGAAUGCGCAGUGUAGCGGUGAAAUGCGUAGAUA